rnacentral:rRNA from 1 species
UACGUAGGGUGCAAGCGUUAAUCGGAAUCACUGGGCGUAAAGCGCACGUAGGCGGACUCUUAAGUCGGUGGUGAAAUCCUGGAGCUCAACUCCAGAACUGCCUUUAAUACUGCCAGUCUCGAGUCCGGAAGAGGUAAGUGGAACUCCUAGUGUAGAGGUGGAAUUCGUAGAUAUUAGGAAGAACACCAGUGGCGAAGGCGGCUUACUGGUCCGGUACUGACGCUGAGGUGCGAAAGCGUGGGGAGCAAACAGG